GACUAAACAACAACAACAAAAACUGAGUACUUCUGAGAUCCAAAUGUCAGUGGAGGGACUCAACAUCGGUGCCAACAUCAGCCACAGUAACCAGACUCUGAUGAAAGUGGACCCUCAUUUUCAUACCAUUGCAUAUGCUAAUUUAUAUGUACCAGGGUAAAAUUAGAAAUGAAUGUUAUACUCCAAACCCAAUUAGAGUACAUCUCAAUUGAUUAAGGAAGCUAGUCACCAUGUGACCUCUGUGUCUACUGAGUUUACUAUCCAGGUACCCAGUGUGGAUGAAAAACUUUGGGGUCCUUGAUCUGUCUCCUUAGAAUUCUUUAUAUUGAAAUCAAACUGUAACUGGGGGGUCAUCUGGAGGAGAACCAUCUUCAGGAAGCUCUUCGAAUGGAGAAUAUCACCACCAAACACUGACCUACAUUAACACUAUAACUAUGAAGGUAUUAGAACUCUUCUAAAAAGCAUCUAGGCUAGGGUGCUGGAAAGUAAUUUUACACAUCUCAGCCAGUAACCAAGAGGGUUUAAAGAAUUCCAAUUUCAAGAGGAUGAAGCAACAUACAGUAGCACGAGUCAAACAGCAGCAUCAGUUUAUGAAGAUAUUAGAGCUUUGAUCUGCUUCCUUAUCAGUCGACUACAAGAAACAGGAAGAUACACAAAAGCGAUCUGCCACAGAGAAAAGGAAGGCUGUAC